rnacentral:rRNA from 1 species
GGUUAAGCGAAUAAGCGUACACGGUGGAUGCCUAGGCAAUCAGAGGCGAUGAAGGACGUGCUAAUCUGCGAAAAGCGUCGGUAAGGUGAUAUGAACCGCUAUACCCGACGAUAUCCGAAUGGGGAAACCCAGUAUCCAAUGGAUACUAUCAUUAACUGAAUCCAUAGGUUAAUGAGGCGAACCGGGAGAACUGAAACAUCUCAGUACCCCGAGGAAAAGAAAUCAACCGAGAUUCCCCUAGUAGCGGCGAGCGAACGGGGAGCAGCCCAGAGUCUUAAUCAAUAACAGUGUCAGGAGAACGGUCUGGAAAGUCCGGCAGUAAAGGGUGAUAGCCCCGUAUCUGAAGAUGCUGUUAUUGUGAACUCGAUGAGUAGGGCGGGACACGUGUUAUCCUGUCUGAAUAUGGGGGGACCAUCCUCCAAGGCUAAAUACUCCUGAUUGACCGAUAGUGAACCAGUACCGUGAGGGAAAGGCGAAAAGAACCCCGGCGAGGGGAGUGAAAAAGAACCUGAAACCGUGUACGUACAAGCAGUAGGAGCCUCUUUAUGGGGUGACUGCGUACCUUUUGUAUAAUGGGUCAGCGACUUAUAUUCUGUAGCAAGGUUAACCGUAUAGGGGAGCCGUAGGGAAACCGAGUCUUAACUGGGCGAAUGAGUUGCAGGGUAUAGACCCGAAACCCGGUGAUCUAUCCAUGGGCAGGUUGAAGGUUGGGUAACACUAACUGGAGGACCGAACCGACUAAUGUUGAAAAAUUAGCGGAUGACUUGUGGAUGGGGGUGAAAGGCCAAUCAAACCGGGAGAUAGCUGGUUCUCCCCGAAAGCUAUUUAGGUAGCGCCUCGUGAAUUCAUCUUCGGGGGUAGAGCACUGUUUCGACUAGGGGGUCAUCCCGACUUACCAACUCGAUGCAAACUGCGAAUACCGAAGAAUGUUAUCACGGGAGACACACGGCGGGUGCUAACGUCCGUCGUGAAGAGGGAAACAACCCAGACCGCCAGCUAAGGUCCCAAAGUCAUGGUUAAGUGGGAAACGAAGUGGGAAGGCUCAGACAGCCAGGAUGUUGGCUUAGAAGCAGCCAUCAUUUAAAGAAAGCGUAAUAGCUCACUGGUCGAGUCGGCCCGCGCGGAAGAUGUAACGGGGCUAAACCAUGCACCGAAGCUGCGGCAGCGACACAAUGUGUUGUUGGGUAGGGGAGCGUUCUGUAAGCCUGCGAAGGUGUACUGUGAGGUAUGCUGGAGGUAUCAGAAGUGCGAAUGCUGACAUAAGUAACGAUAAUGCGGGUGAAAAACCCGCACGCCGGAAGACCAAGGGUUCCUGUCCAACGUUAAUCGGGGCAGGGUGAGUCGACCCCUAAGGCGAGGCUGAAAAGCGUAGUCGAUGGGAAACGGGUUAAUAUUCCCGUACUGGUGGUAACUGCGAUGGGGGAACGGAGAAGGCUAGGUUGUCCGGGCGACGGUUGUCCCGGUUCAAGCAGGUAGGCAGAGUGAUUAGGCAAAUCCGGUCACUUAAUGCUGAGAUGUGAUGACGAACCACUAAGGUGGUGAAGCAAUUGAUGCCCCGCUUCCAGGAAAAGCCUCUAAGCUUCAGGUUACCAACAAUCGUACCCCAAACCGACACAGGUGGUCAGGUAGAGAAUACUCAGGCGCUUGAGAGAACUCGGGUGAAGGAACUAGGCAAAAUGGUGCCGUAACUUCGGGAGAAGGCACGCUGGCGGUAGGUAAAGUCCCUUGCGGACGGCGCUGAAGCCAGUCGAAGAUACCAGCUGGCUGCAACUGUUUAUUAAAAACACAGCACUGUGCAAACACGAAAGUGGACGUAUACGGUGUGACGCCUGCCCGGUGCUGGAAGGUUAAUUGAUGGGGUUAGCGUAAGCGAAGCUCCUGAUCGAAGCCCCAGUAAACGGCGGCCGUAACUAUAACGGUCCUAAGGUAGCGAAAUUCCUUGUCGGGUAAGUUCCGACCUGCACGAAUGGCGUAAUGAUGGCCAGGCUGUCUCCACCCGAGACUCAGUGAAAUUGAACUCGCUGUGAAGAUGCAGUGUACCCGCGGCAAGACGGAAAGACCCCGUGAACCUUUACUAUAGCUUGACACUGAACAUUGAGCCUUGAUGUGUAGGAUAGGUGGGAGGCUUUGAAGUGUGGACGCCAGUCUGCAUGGAGCCAACCUUGAAAUACCACCCUUUAACGUUUGAUGUUCUAACCUAGGCCCAUAAACUGGGUCGGGGACCGUGUCUGGUGGGUAGUUUGACUGGGGCGGUCUCCUCCUAAAGAGUAACGGAGGAGCACGAAGGUUGGCUAAGCAUGGUCGGACAUCAUGCGGUUAGUGCAAAGGCAUAAGCCAGCUUGACUGCGAGAGUGACGGCUCGAGCAGGUACGAAAGUAGGUCUUAGUGAUCCGGUGGUUCUGAAUGGAAGGGCCAUCGCUCAACGGAUAAAAGGUACUCCGGGGAUAACAGGCUGAUACCGCCCAAGAGUUCAUAUCGACGGCGGUGUUUGGCACCUCGAUGUCGGCUCAUCACAUCCUGGGGCUGAAGUAGGUCCCAAGGGUAUGGCUGUUCGCCAUUUAAAGUGGUACGCGAGCUGGGUUUAGAACGUCGUGAGACAGUUCGGUCCCUAUCUGCCGUGGGCGUUGGAAGAUUGAGAGGGGUUGCUCCUAGUACGAGAGGACCGGAGUGAACGCACCACUGGUGUUCGGGUUGUCAUGCCAAUGGCAUUGCCCGGUAGCUAAGUGCGGAAGAGAUAACCGCUGAAAGCAUCUAAGCGGGAAACUUGCCUCGAGAUGAGUCUUCCCUGUCGCUUUAAGCGACCUAAAGGAACGUUUAAGACUAAGACGUUGAUAGGCUGGGUGUGUAAGCGUAGCGAUACGUUGAGCUAACCAGUACUAAUGAACCGUGAGGCUUAACCUG